CAAUAAUUUGGAAAAUCGUUUCCAGAUCCUCCAAAAUCGUAAAAAUAAUUUCCAAACAAACCAGAUGAACUUUCAGAUCCUUUAUCUUGUUAUUGAGAUCUCUUGUGGCAAAUUCUUGCUUGUUCGUUUUGCAAGAACAAACAUACGUUUGGAUCUGUUAUCGAACUCAAAUCUUUCAACAAAAUUCUAUUCUUCUCACGAUAUUCUGUCAUUGCGAAUUUUCUUUUUUAGAUUUCCUAAUUCUAUUGUCUUUCCUCACUAUCUUUUUUCAUAAUUUUGAGAAUUUAUCAAUUCUCUUCUUGAAUGGAUGUAAGUAACUUUAUACAUUCUUCUUCAUUUUUCCUUUUUGCCUUUUGUUUUUUUACCCCCAUGGGUCGUUGAGUAGAAGUAUCGUCAACAUUGUCUUCAUUUAUAUUAGGAGAUAAUGAGGACAAUCUAGGGGUGUUGAAUGCGUUGACGUGUGGUCCUCCGAUGACGAAUCUGGCUGUGACGAUGUAAUGUUAACACGGCCUUUCCUGUGGUAAAUUUCUUUGGUCGUGUUAACGUCAUCUCCAAAUAUUUUGGCAUAUUUAAGCAUAGGCUAGACAUGAUCAAAUUUAAACCCUUUCUUGUAAUUUGGGUCUUCAAAAAAUAGCAUUUUUGCUCGAAACAUCUAUGAAACAAAGACAAUGUAACAUUAAUCUGACAGAAAUUUUACAUUUGGAAGCAUACAUUACGAGUAAUACUCACAAUAUCUUCCUCUAAUGCACCACUUGGUUUCAGAAGUUCCACUUACCGAACGCAUCCUUGCAUUUUGCUAAUGGUGGCAUUAGUUACUUGCAUCCGCUUCAUUAGAGAUCUUUUCGAUCGAAUAAGAGUGAUAAAUGAAGGAAGUGUGGUGUUCUAUCGAUUCUCCACUCAGGAAUAGAAUUAGUCCCUUGAUUGGUAAAUACCUACCAUUGGAUCUUGGGAAAUAUCAAGAUAGACUUUACAUAAGUGUACAUCUUUUUCAUGUGGGUACGAAGAAGUUCGUGGAACAAAACUCAUUUUUGAGAGAGGGUUAUUGAGAAGGGUAGAUGAUAUUAAUU
rnacentral:lncRNA from 1 species